AAGUUAUCACGAAAGGCGGAGGGAAAAGACCCGAUGAAACCUUAGCAACCCUUUACUUUUUUAAAGAAGGUGCUACAUUCUACCAAGCAUAGCUCGGAUAGAUAACAA
rfam:Flavobacterium succinicans strain DD5b FLB_contig000046, whole genome shotgun sequence.